AGUAUUAAACAAGUUUUUAUAGUAAAUAAAAGUUAAUUAUUAUAGCUGAACAAGGUAUAUUAAGUUUGUCAUGUAAUCACGUAAUUUGUAAGACCCAGAGGGAAAAGUCGGGUACCCAAUUAUAUAUACGAAUAUGUACAUACAUAUGAGUGUAUAUAAAUUAUCAGCGUUACGUGCUGAGUCGAUUUAUGUUCGUCUGAGCCUCAGUUUUGCUCAUUUGUCGGAACUGUCGCUAUCAUACUAGCGUAUAACUAUAUGUUAUAAAAACUGAACGAUCAAACUCUUGCCCUGGUAUGGAAAAUUUUAUUUGACAAAAUAUCAUCACGGAAUUUCGCAAGGUAUAUUAUUUAAGGCAGGACUACAGCAUAAAGCUGUCAUACAAAUUGUCCGUAUUUGCUGCUUUCCUUAAACAAUCAAUAACAGUGCAACUUUUCUAUACUUAAAUGAAUUUAUUAUAUUUUCAUCAGAUUGUUUUAAUUACUUUUAGUUUAUAGAAUAACAAUUUUAAAACGAACUCCAGUGCGCUGAUAUGAGUGUGCAAGUGCCUUAAUAUCUUCCUGCAUAUUGAUUCGAGUUCACUCGCACCGACUCUGGUGCAAUUUAAUCAAAUGAUUUGAAUAAUCUAAUUAAAGAAUGUUAUUUAUAAUGCCUAUAAAUAUAAGUAUAUUUAAUUUUAAUUGCUGCAUCAGCUGAGUUCAACAGUGAAUAAUAUAUUUAGUAAAUAUGCACUUCAAGUUUUUAAUAAAUUUAAAGGAAUUGACUACAUACAAUAUAAUUUAUUUUGGUAAGAAUUGAUUUUUUGGUCAUAUACAAACCAGCAUAUACUAAAUACAUUUUUAGAAAUAUUCAUGCAAAGCUUUAAGUUUAAAAUAUCAUAAGAAAUUUGUUUUGUUUAUAUUUUCUAAAUGGAUUUUCUCUACUCCAGCUGUUUCACGACUGCUCAUGUGUAGAUAUGGCAGCUCAAAUCGGUUCAAAGCGUUCAAAUAAAAUAUUUUAAGAAAUAUUCGCGUUGAAGCGUCAUUUAUUUGACUUUGCGUUGCGCCAGCUUCAGUUCCUUUUCCCAAACAAUGUUAUUCAUGAAUUCGCCAAACAGAUACAAACAUAA